AAAAACAUACAAAAAA
rnacentral:sRNA from 1 species